rnacentral:rRNA from 1 species
GAUGAACGCUGGCGGCGUGCCUAAUACAUGCAAGUCGAGCGAACGUACGAGAAGCUUGCUUUUCUGAUGUUAGCGGCGGACGGGUGAGUAACACGUGGAUAACCUACCUAUAAGACUGGGAUAACUUCGGGAAACCGGAGCUAAUACCGGAUAAUAUUUUGAACCGCAUGGUUCAAAAGUGAAAGACGGUCUUGCUGUCACUUAUAGAUGGAUCCGCGCUGCAUUAGCUAGUUGGUAAGGUAACGGCUUACCAAGGCAACGAUGCAUAGCCGACCUGAGAGGGUGAUCGGGCACACUGGAACUGAGAAACGGUCCAGACUCCUAAGGGAAGCAGCAGUUGGGAAUCUUCCGGAAUGGGCGGAAACCUGACGGAGCCACGGCGGGUGGGGGGAGAAGGUCCUCGGAUCGUAAAACUCUGUUAUUAGGGAAAGACAAAAGGGUAAGUAACUGGGCAACUCUUGAAGGUACCUAAACAAAAAACCACGGCUAAAUACCUG